rnacentral:ribozyme from 14 species
AAAGUAGAAGAAAAAAUGACUAUAGUUGGAAGAUCAUUAUUUUUUAUUUUUUAUUAAUUAAAAAGAGGGGAAAAAAUAG